rnacentral:rRNA from 1 species
UGGGGAAUAUUGGACAAUGGGGGGAACCCUGAUCCAGCCAUGCCGCGUGUGUGAAGAAGGCCUUUUGGUUGUAAAGCACUUUAAGCGAGGAGGAGGCUCCCAGUAUUAAUACUACUGGAGAGUGGACGUUACUCGCAGAAUAAGCACCGGCUAACUCUGUGCCAGCAGCCGCGGUAAUACAGAGGGUGCAAGCGUUAAUCGGAUUUACUGGGCGUAAAGCGUGCGUAGGUGGCCAAUUAAGCCAAAUGUGAAAUCCCCGAGCUUAACUUGGGAAUUGCAUUCGAUACUGGUUGGCUAGAGUAUGGGAGAGGAUGGUAGAAUUCCAGGUGUAGCGGUGAAAUGCGUAGAGAUCUGGAGGAAUACCGAUGGCGAAAGGCAGCCAUCUGGCCUAAUACUGACA